ACCCGCUGAACUUAAGCAUUCAAUAAGCGGAGGAGGGAGAACAACAGGGGAUUGCCCUAGUAACGGCGAGUGAAGCGGCAACAGCUCAAAUUUGAAAUCUGCCCUUCGGGUCCGAGUUGUAAUUUGUAGAGGAUGCUUUUGGUGCAGUGCCUUGCGAGUUCCUUGGAACAGGACGCCUUAGAGGGUGAGAGCCCCGUACGGUUGGACACUAAGCCUCUGUAAAGCUCCUUCGACGAGUCGAGUAGUUUGGGAAUGCUGCUCUAAAUGGGAGGUAAAUUUCUUCUAAAGCUAAAUACCGGCCAGAGACCGAUAGCGCACAAGUAGAGUGAUCGAAAGAUGAAAAGUACUUUGAAAAGAGGGUUAAAUAGCACGUGAAAUUGUUGAAAGGGAAGCGUUUAUGACCAGACCUUUGUCUAGCGGAUCAUCCGGUGUUCUUCACCGGUGCACUUCGCUAGGCUCAGGCCAGCAUCGGUUUCUGUAGGGGGAUAAAGACCAUGGGAACGUAGCUCUCUCCGGGGAGUGUUAUAGCCCUAGGUGUAAUACCUCUACGGGGACCGAGGUUCGCGCUUCUGCAAGGAUGCUGGCGUAAUGGUCAUCAACGACCCGUCUUGAAACACGGACC
rnacentral:rRNA from 1 species